rnacentral:rRNA from 1 species
UACGUAGGGUGCGAGCGUUAAUCGGACUUACUGGGCGUAAAGCGUGCGCAGGCGGUUCGUUAAGUCUGCUGUGCAAGCCCCGGGCUCAACCUGGGAAUGGCAGUGGAAACUGGCGAGCUGGAGUGUGGCAGAGGGGGGUGGAAUUCCGCGUGUAGCAGUGAAAUGCGUAGAGAUGCGGAGGAACACCGAUGGCGAAGGCAGCCCCCUGGACUAACACUGACGCUCAUGCACGAAAGCGUGGGGAGCAAACAGG